rnacentral:rRNA from 1 species
AUGGUCACCGCGGCGACGUCCUCCCGAGAGAAGCCCUCCCGGCACAGCAGCGCGUACUCCUCGUUAGAGCAGACCGACUCGUCCUCCUUCGCCGGCGCCGGCUCCACGGCCUGCGCGAGCGGCGCCGCCCUGUGGAUCGCCUUGGCGACGUCGCCGUUGGCGCGCGGGUUGGUGCUGCUCUCGCGGACGGCGCCGGAGUCCGCGCGGCGCGUCUGCGCCACCGCCUUGCUGGCGGAGCUGAGCCAGCUGCGCCGCGCGGUGCCUGACUUGGACUUUGCGUUGCCGGCCUGCGCGGGCGCGGCGGUGGUCACGCAGCACACGCGCUGUGUCCGCCCGAUCGGCGUCGAAGGGGUCCGCGGCGUCCGCGCGGGAGGAGGAGCCAGCGCCGCUCCAGCCGACGCAGCAGCUACCACGGGAGUCCUCGCAGGAGGAGGAGGAGGAGCAACCAGCGGCGCUCCAGUCGACGCAGCAGCUGCCACGGGAGUCCUCACAGGAGGAGGAGCAACUUGCGGCACUGCAGCCGACGCAGCAGCUGACACGGGAGUCUUCACCGGAGGAACAGCCAGCGCCGCUCCAGCCGAUGCCACGGGAGUCCUCGCGGGAGCAGCCGGCGCCACCUCUCGCGCUGGAGCAGCGGGUGCCGCGGGCGCCGGCGCUGGAGCCGCAGGGAAUCGGCGGACCUGCUGCGCCCGGCGAGGGGUGCGGGAGCGGACGCCGCAGAGGCGCCUGGCGGAGGGCGUCUUGGGGGUGCGCGGCGUGCGGACGGCGUCCCCGGUGCCGCAGCAGCUGGUGAGCGGCGUGCGCACGCUGCUGUUAUCCGUGUCGACGGGGGCGAGAGCGCUGCCCCCGGAAGCUCGGUGGUGGGGGCCGAUGCAGCAUAUGCACGCCGCGCUGCUGCGGCGGCGGGCGUCGCCGGAGGGCUUCGACGGCAUGAUGCAGCACAUCGCCCGCGUCCUCGACAUCGCAAAGUCGUCGCUGGCGUACCUGGUCGAAUGUGGUGCGAGUGCUACGACUUGUGGGAAUGGCCGGCAAGGCGGUAUAAAUGGGCCGGGAGCCGGCCGGAGAGGAGGGAGACGACCGAGGCGAUGUGCGCGCCUCUACGGACGUGGGUGUCUGUCGGCGUCGGCGUGGCGGCUUUGUUUAGGGUUAGCGCGUGAGAUCGGGGACAGCUUUGUGAGGCGACGACGAGAACGUGGCGGGAUGGAUGGAUGA